CCUACGGGUGGCAGCAGUGGGGAAUAUUGCACAAUGGGCGAAAGCCUGAUGCAGCAACGCCGCGUGAAGGAAGACGGUUUUCGGAUUGUAAACUUCUGUUCUUAGUGAAGAAUAAUGACGGUAACUAAGGAGCAAGCCACGGCUAACUACGUGCCAGCAGCCGCGGUAAUACGUAGGUGGCAAGCGUUGUCCGGAAUUACUGGGUGUAAGGGGAGCGUAGGCGGGAAGCCAAGUCAGCUGUGAAACCUACGGGCUUAACCUGUAGACUGCAGUUGAAACUGGCCUGCUGGAGUGAAGUAGAGGUAGGCGGAAUUCCGAGUGUAGCGGUGAAAUGCGUAGAUAUUCGGAGGAACACCGGUGGCGAAGGCGGCUAACUGGGCUGUAACUGACGCUGAGGCUCGAAAGUGUGGGGAGCAAACAGGAUUAGAUACCCGAGUAGUC
rnacentral:rRNA from 1 species